GGCGCUGUAGUGUAGCGGUUAUCACUCGAGAUUCUGAAUCUUGAUUUCUCGAAACCCAGGUUCGAUUCCUGGCAGUGCCU
rnacentral:tRNA from 1 species